GACGAACGCUGGCGGCGUGCUUAACACAUGCAAGUCGAACGGUGAAGCCCCAGCUUGCUGGAGUGGAUCAGUGGCGAACGGGUGAGUAACACGUGAGCAACCUGCCCCAGACUCUGGGAUAAGCGCUGGAAACGGCGUCUAAUACCGGAUAUGAGAUCAAGUCGCAUGGCGGGGGUUGGAAAAGUUUUUCGGGUUGGGAUGGGCUCGCGGCCUACCAGCUUGUUGGGGAGGUAUUGGCUCACCAAGGCGACGACGGGUAGCCGGCCUGAGAGGGCGACCGGCCACACUGGGACUGAGACACGGCCCAGACUCCUACGGGAGGCAGCAGUGGGGAAUAUUGCACAAUGGGCGAAAGCCUGAUGCAGCGACGCCGCGUGAGGGAUGACGGCCUUCGGGUUGUAAACCUCUUUCAGCAGGGAAGAAGCGAAAGUGACGGUACCUGCAGAAGAAGCACCGGCUAACUACGUG
rnacentral:rRNA from 1 species